rnacentral:rRNA from 1 species
UACGUAGGGGGCGAGCGUUGUCCGGAUUUAUUGGGCGUAAAGAGCGUGUAGGCGGCCAGGUAGGUCUGCUGUGAAAACUCGAGGCUCAACCUCGAGACGUCGGUGGAAACUUUCUGGCUAGAGUCCGGAAGAGGAGAAUGGAAUUCCUGGUGUAGCGGUGAAAUGCGCAGAUAUCAGGAAGAACACCCGUGGCGAAGGCGGUUCUCUGGGACGGUACUGACGCUGAGACGCGAAAGCGUGGGGAGCGAACAGG